rnacentral:rRNA from 1 species
GUUUUAACUUUUUAAAUAAAUAAGAGUAUUUGGUGGAUGCCUUGGGUCUGAAAGUCGAUGAAGGACGUGAUUACCUGCGAUAAGCUUCGUGGAGUUGGAAAUAAACUAUGAUACGGAGAUUUCCGAAUGGGGUAACCCAAUCUAGCAAACCUAGAUUGCGCUUUAAUGAAUCCAUAGUUAAAGCAGCGAAAUACGUUGCGAAUUGAAACAUCUUAGUAGCAACAGGAAAAGAAAAUAAAUAAUGAUUCCCAAAGUAGUGGCGAGCGAAAUGGGAAAAGCCCAAACCGUUUUUACGGUGUUGUAGGACAUUUUAACUGAGUUACAAAAUUAUAUAAUAGUAGAAAAAGUUGGAAAGCUUUGACAUAGAAGGUGAUAUCCCUGUAUACGAAAUUAUAUAAUCUCAUAAAUGUAUCCUGAGUAGAGCGGGGCACGUGGAACCCUGUCUGAAUCUGCCAGGACCACCUGGUAAGGCUAAAUACUAAUCAGACACCGAUAGUGAACUAGUA